AGAUCAGGGUCAGAAUUUAUCUUCAGCAACCCAUGCUUGUCGUAAGAAGCGAUUAGCAGGAUAAGGUGGUCAGGCUCACUGACUUGGUUGACACGUGUCAUCGUAUCCCAUUGCGUACAUCGAUAACCAUGCUGUUAACCACUGGAUUGUAUCUUCCAGACUCGAUUAUUUACAGACCGCUGUCAUAUAGCUGGAAUAUUGCUGAGUGCGGCCUAAAACUAAAC